CUGGAGUGAAGUACCAACCGGCCCCUGAGCACCAGGCUCCAAGCCACAGAGCCGGCAGCCUUUCAGCCAUCUGAUGCGCAAUCCAGCCAGGCUGUGACCUUAUGGCCUUGUGAAGGCUCAUUACUUGACUCCCAAGUUCAGUUCUCACAUUUCUGCAAGUUCUGCAACUUCCUUGUGCUUCAUGGAGAGAAGUGGGUUGGCAGCCUUGGCGUUCAAGGGGGAGAAGCUUCGAUGUUCCCACUAGCAUGGGCACAGCCCCCGACACACAGCCAUUUCUUCACCAGUCAUGGCUGAGACUUGGAAGGAAGAUUCUGGAUGGGAAUGGCUGAACAUCUCUCUUCAAGUUGAUCAUGGGAAGCAACUGCAAAGCAGAAAACCUCCCCAGCCACACUGGAACCUGGACACUUAAGAAGACAGAAUUCCUGUGAUUUCUUCCUUUGUCCUCUUGACCCUCAGAGGAGCAAGACUUCAGUGCCAACGCCAAUAGCAUCUCAAACCCCUGGCUUG